GCAGAGAAUGCUACAAGUGGACCACUGGGAGGAAAGAGGUGCCAAGGACCUGGAAUAUGGUCCAGAAUGGACUGGAAUAGAUUCAUUUUGAGAUGUCAGCUCGUCCUUCUACCAGAACAGAGGAGGGUGCAGCAGAGAAGAACUGAUCGGGCUCAGUGGUAGAGGACUGUGGCCUGGCAAGCGACUUGGGUCCCACUCACCAAUCCCAGGAUAAGAAAACGUUCAGCUCAGCAUCACGUUACAUGUGGCUUUGUGAUUUUGAGAGUGGACUUUCCUGAGAGCAGAGUGGGUUAGGUGGUAAAUCCUGCCUCCAAGUUUUGUCCACACCUAGUGACACAUGGGGUACUUCGGAAGCGCCAGUUUUUAAAAGAACCAGCCCUGUACUGGAGGGAGCAUGUGUGAAUAGAGAGGAGUCUGUGGUUUUCAGUGCUGACCAUGAAGAAUGAGCAGUACCACAUCACAUGGCACAAGGAGGAAACAUCCACACACCCCCUGUGAAGAGAUGUCCCCAGUUCUCUCAGAGCCCUUUGCUUCCUUUAUCAUCGAUGGAAAAUUGAUGUUUGGAGACAAUUAAAGUUUCUGUUUGGUUGUCUGACACCUGUUUUUUCCUUG
rnacentral:lncRNA from 1 species